ACACGUGGAUAAUCUGCCCUCAGAUGAAGAAUAAUCCCGGGAAACUGGGGCUAAUGCUUCAUAGGAGACGGGUGCUGGAAUGCUCUGUCUCUGAAAGGUCCGCCGUCUGAGGAUGAGUCUGCGUCCGAUUAGGUUGUUGUUGGGGUAACGGCCCACCAAGCCUUUGAUCGGUACGGGUUGUGGGAGCAAGAGCCCGGAGAUGGAUUCUGAGACAUGAAUCCAGGCCCUACGGGGCGCAGCAGGCGCGAAAACUUUACAAUGCGAGCAAUCGUGAUAAGGAAACCCUGAGUGCCUGUUAUCGCAGGCUGUUCUGGUGUCUAACACACACCAGGAGAAAGGGCGGGGCAAGACCGGUGCCAGCCGCCGCGGUAAUACCGGCUGCUCGAGUGAUAGCCACUUUUACUGGGCUUAAAGCGUUCGUAGCUUGGUCGUUAAGUCUCUGGGGAAAUCUUUUGGCUCAACCAAAAGGCGUCUCAGGGAAACUGGCGACCUAGGAACCGGGAGAGGUAAGACGUACUUCGGGGGUAGGAGUGAAAUCUUGUAAUCCCCGAGGGACGACCGAUGGCGAAGGCAUCUUACCAGAACGGCUUCGACAGUGAGGGACGAAAGCUGGG
rnacentral:rRNA from 1 species